rfam:Klebsormidium nitens mitochondrial DNA, scaffold: kfl01814, whole genome shotgun sequence.
GGGUGCGUAGCUCAGUUGGCAGAGCAUUGGGCUUUUAACCUAAUGGUCGCAGGUUCGAACCCUGCCGCACCCA